rnacentral:rRNA from 1 species
AGGACGAACGCUGGCGGCGUGCUUAACACAUGCAAGUCGAACGAUGAACUCACCUUCGGGUGGGGGAUUAGUGGCGAACGUGUGGGUAACACGUGGGCAACCUACCCUUGACUCUGGGAUAACUCCGGGAAACCGGAGCUAAUACCGGAUAUGAACACUGAGGACAUCCUCGGUGUUGGAAAGUUUUUUUCGGUCAGGGAUGGGCCCGCGGCCUAUCAGCUUGUUGGUGGGGUAAUGGCCCACCAAGGCGACGACGGGUA